rnacentral:rRNA from 1 species
CCUACGGGAGGCAGCAGUGGGGGAUAGGGGACAAUGGGGGGAACCCUGAUCCAGCGACGCCGCGUGAGUGAAGAAGUAUUUCGGUAUGUAAAGCUCUGUCAGCAGGGAAGAAAGAAAUGACGGUACCGGACCAAGAAGCACCGGCUAACUACGUGCCAGCAGCCGCGGUAAUACGUAGGGGGCAAGCGUUAUCCGGAAUUACUGGGUGUAAAGGGAGCGUAGACGGUUAAGUAAGUCUGGAGUGAAAGGCCGGGGCCCAACCCCGGGACUGCUCUGGAAACUAUUGAACUUGAGUGCAGGAGAGGUAAGCGGUAUUCCUAUUGUCGCGGUGCCAUGCGUCGAUAUUAGGAGGCCCACCAGUGGCGCAGGCGGCUUACUGGACUGUACCUGACGUUGAUGCUCGAAAGCGUGGGGAGCAAACAGGAUUAGAUACCCGGGUAGUC